rnacentral:rRNA from 1 species
GAUGAACGCUGGCGGCGUGCCUAAUACAUGCAAGUCGAGCGAACAGACGAGGAGCUUGCUCCUCUGACGUUAGCGGCGGACGGGUGAGUAACACGUGGAUAACCUACCUAUAAGACUGGGAUAACUUCGGGAAACCGGAGCUAAUACCGGAUAAUAUAUUUAACCGCAUGGUUCAAUAGUGAAAGACGGUUUUGCUGUCACUUAUAGAUGGAUCCGCGCCGCAUUAGCUAGUUGGUAAGGUAACGGCUUACCAAGGCGACGAUGCGUAGCCGACCUGAGAGGGUGAUCGGCCACACUAGAACUGAGACACGGUCCAGACUCCUACGGGAGGCAGCAGUAGGGAAUCUUCCGCAAUGGGCGAAAGCCUGACGGAGCAACGCCGCGUGAGUGAUGAAGGUCUUCGGAUCGUAAAACUCUGUUAUUAGGGAAGAACAAAUGUGUAAGUAACUAUGCACGUCUUGACGGUACCUAAUCAGAAAGCCACGGCUAACUACGUG